UGUGCUCAUUUGUUUCUUCUUCUCUUU
rnacentral:sRNA from 1 species